UGGGGAAUAUUGGACAAUGGGCGCAAGCCUGAUCCAGCCAUGCCGCGUGAGUGAUGAAGGCCCUAGGGUUGUAAAGCUCUUUUGUGCGGGAAGAUAAUGACGGUACCGCAAGAAUAAGCCCCGGCUAACUUCGUGCCAGCAGCCGCGGUAAUACGAAGGGGGCUAGCGUUGCUCGGAAUCACUGGGCGUAAAGGGUGCGUAGGCGGGUCUUUAAGUCAGGGGUGAAAUCCUGGAGCUCAACUCCAGAACUGCCUUUGAUACUGAAGAUCUUGAGUUCGGGAGA
rnacentral:rRNA from 1 species